GACGAACGCUGGCGGCGUGCCUAAUACAUGCAAGUUGAGCGCUGAAGGUUGGUACUUGUACCAACUGGAUGAGCAGCGAACGGGUGAGUAACGCGUGGGGAAUCUGCCUUUGAGCGGGGGACAACAUUUGGAAACGAAUGCUAAUACCGCAUAAAAACUUUAAACACAAGUUUUAAGUUUGAAAGAUGCAAUUGCAUCACUCAAAGAUGAUCCCGCGUUGUAUUAGCUAGUUGGUGAGGUAAAGGCUCACCAAGGCGAUGAUACAUAGCCGACCUGAGAGGGGGGUCGCCCACUUUGGGCCUGGGCCAGGGCCCAAACCCCUACGGGCGGCGCCAGGAGGGAAUCUUGGGCAAGGGACGAAAGUCUGCCCGAGCACCGCGGGGGGAGUAAGGAGGGUUUUCGGUUGAUAAAACUUUGUUGGUAGAGAAGACCGUGGGGGGGAGUGGAAACCUCAUCACGUGCCGUGAACUACCCAGAAGGGGCCGGCUACCUACGCC
rnacentral:rRNA from 1 species